rnacentral:sRNA from 1 species
ACAGAUGUGUUGUACUAAGUUCUGCAAGCCUUUGGCAAUUCCAGGAUAGGUUUACUUUCCCUUGAUAAGAGAGGAGUUGGAAGAGUAUUUUCAGCUGUUGUCUUUGGUGCCAUGGCCGUGGGGCAAGUCAGUUCAUUUGCUCCUGACUAUGCCAAAGCCAAAAUAUCAGCAGCCCACAUCAUCAUGAUCAUUGAAAAAACCCCUUUGAUUGACAGCUACAGCACGGAAGGCCUAACGCCGAACACAUUGGAAGGAAAUGUCACAUUUGGUGAAGUUGUAUUCAACUAUCCCACCCGACCGGACAUCCCAGUGCUUCAGGGACUGAGCCUGGAAGUGAAGAAGGGCCAGACGCUGGCUCUGGUGGGCAGCAGUGGCUGUGGGAAGAGCACAGUGGUCCAGCUCCUGGAGCGGUUCUACGACCCCUUGGCAGGGAAAGUGCUGCUUGAUGGCAAAGAAAUAAAGCGACUGAAUGUUCAGUGGCUCCGAGCACACCUGGGCAUCGUGUCCCAGGAGCCCAUCCUGUUUGACUGCAGCAUUGCUGAGAACAUUGCCUAUGGAGACAACAGCCGGGUGGUGUCACAGGAAGAGAUCGUGAGGGCAGCCAAGGAGGCCAACAUACAUGCCUUCAUUGAGUCACUGCCUAAUAAAUAUAGCACUAGAGUAGGAGACAAAGGAACUCAGCUCUCUGGUGGCCAGAAACAACGCAUUGCCAUAGCUCGUGCCCUUGUUAGACAGCCUCAUAUUUUGCUUUUGGAUGAAGCCACAUCAGCUCUGGAUACAGAAAGUG